CGUCUCAAAGGACUGUGAGCCA
rnacentral:miRNA from 1 species